GGUUUGAGAGGUUAGGAACGUGGGUUGGUGGGGUCAGAAGCAGAGGGGUCGCUUAAUUCCGGGACGGCUGGGCUUGCUGGGGGUGCGGGGCGCCUUGUGUGUAACCCCCAGCACAGUGAGUUCCUUCUCGGGUGGAAGGGAGCCGAGGGCUGCGGGCCAGAGGAGCGAAGAUGCGCCGCCCAGAAGAGGGAUGUCAGUCCCGGAGAGGGAUGCGGUUGCUGUGAGGGGCGAAGGCCCAGCCAGCAUCUCUUGCUGCACGGGCAACUGCGCCAGCCUCGCCUGCGGGGUCCCUUGAAGGACCGUGUCGACUGGAGAUGAUCUGCUCCCCUGGAGCUCACCCCGUAGUGCACCCCCGCCUGUGCUCCCUGCCAGCGCUUCUUAAAGCUAAGCUUCAGGCAGUGCAUUUUCUUUGGAAGUCUUUUUAAUCCAAAGCACUGCCCCAUCGUAAUCACCUCUUUGCUCUAGGAGAGUGAAAACAGCCUUUCUCUGUGGAGUGACAUUUUUUAAAAAUUAUUUUAAUUUUUUUUGGCUGUGUUGAGUUUUCAUUGCUGAGCACGGGCUUUCUCUAGUUGCGGCCAGUGGGGGCUACUCUUAAUUGCAGCGUGCGGGCUUCUCAUUGCGUUGGCUUCUCUUGUUGCAGAGCACGGGCUCUGGGCGUGUGGGCUUCAGGAGUUGCAGCACGUGGGCUCAGUAGUUGUGGCUCGCAGGCUCAGUUGCUCCGCAGCAUGUGGGAUCUUCACGGACCAGGUCCUGAACCCAUGUUCCCUGCAUUGGCAGGUGGAUUCUUAACCACUGAGCCACCAGGGAAGUCCCUGGAAUGACAUAUUUAAGACAGCCUCUUAAUACCAUUUAUGGCCUUGAGUUUGCUACCCUUUUGCUGAGAAGAACCUGAGGGCUCUUCUGUUACCAAAAUUAAUAGUUUCUUAGCAGGGAAAAUGGUAGCAUGUGUAUCUGUUACCCAGACUCUUGCUUCUUUUGUAAAGACUUUGAUAGAAAUACGUAACUCAGAUGGCAAGACAUAUUACUCCAUUUGAACAACUUUCCUUUUUUUUUUUUGCAUUCAGGUAUAUGUUUUUUUCCCCCACUUAAACACUGGGCAUAUUUGUAAUUUAGACAAGUUUCUUUUAGACUGAGGGUGCUUAGAGAAUGCCAGCUUCCUUUGGCAUAAGGUCUAGGGAUGUGAAUUGGCUUUCUAAAAACACAGUCAAUAUAGGAAUUCCCUGGUGGUCCAGUGGUUAGGGCUUGGCGAUUUCACUGCUGGGACCAGGUGUGGAGAGUGGUGGUGGAAGUCAAUAUAUUCCAAAAUAAAGGUCCUGAUCAUUUGCAGGUUGGGGUUAUGCCCAGCUCUGCUUUCUGCUCUAGUUGUUUACUGUAUCAGAUAAGAAUGUUGAAGUCAGUGUCCAAACAGGUUUGGGACUGAAUCCUGCUCUACUACUUUCUGGUUGUGUGUCCUUGGGAAAGUUUCAUAAUGUCUAUUUUGUUCACCUACAGCAUGCUGGUAUCUGUUUAUACACUUCAGAGGGCUGUUGUAAGAAUUAAAUGAGACACGUGUAAGGUAUUUAGUUCACUGCAUGCCACAUAAUAGGCAGUAAUAGGGUGAAAAUGAUAAGUACACCAUCUUUUGUUUUCCAUAUGUGUGCCUUCUUUUAAGCUCCCAUUUUUCCUGAAUUGUGCUAUUCUUUAUAUCCUGAAAUGCCAAGUCCAUGUAUAACUGCCUUCCAGUGAAAGGUCACAUUUCCAGUCCCAUAAAGGAGCUCAGGGAUUGUAGUUGGGUCCAGAAGAUAAAGUUUAGGCUGAAAAGGAUAUUGUGAUUAUGAUAGAGAGGAAGAGGCAAGGAAGAGUUUCCUCGUUGGCCUCCCUUUUAUGUUUAGAGAUUAUUGGCUAUAGUUAUUCUAGCCCUACCUUGUCUUAAUUUCUUGUUACUAGUUAAGUAAAUCCUAACUUUCUUUUGAAAUUGACUUCAAAGGUUUCAUCCUUCUGUCAAGGACCCACUUAUUCUUUGUAAACUAAACAGGGUGCUUUCUCUUUAGCUGCUUCUUAUACCUGCAUAUUGAUUCCUUAAUGUCUUAUUGUUGGUGCCUUUUCCAAAAAACUACUUCAUUUUUUCAAUUAAAAGUGUUUCUAAAUUCCAAGUGGACAGUGAGUAUUAGUAUUCAUUCUGUUUUUGAAGCUUGAUCCUCAGACUUUAAUGUGAAGGUUUAAUUUUUAAAUUAUUUCCCUAGGAAAGGUAAAUCAGGUAAACUCGUAAUUCUAAAUACUUGCAUCUGAGAUAAGAUUUUCUAAAAGAAUUUCUAAGGCCCAUGUUUCUUAUUUUUAGUAUGGUCCACAGAACAUUCUAUGCUUACAGUUGUUAUGUUGCAGUAGUUGGAGAGGAAGGAAGAAGGAGAAAUGUUAACAAAUGCCUUCAAGCAUAACCUGUUUCCUUCCACAGGAUUUCUGAUCCCUAACCUGACUGUGAGUGACCAUUGUGAUGGAACAAGAGCAAAAACUGUUGGUCUCAGAUUCUAAUAGCUUCACAGAGAGGGAGAGUUUGAAAAGCACUUUUACAGGAGAUGAAAGUAAGAAUAAUUUGGAAACUGUUCAACACAGUAACUCUAAGGCAGAUAAAGAGAGAGCCUCAAAAUGGUCUAAAAGUGAUGGCCCACAAAAUUGUAAGCAUGAGGACACAAAAAAAAUGCCAUUGACAUGGUCCCAGGGACGUGAAACUGAGUGUGAUGAUUCCUGUGAGAAUGAUGGCAACUUGGAGAAUCAGGGAAAUUCUACAGGAAAAGAGGAGGAAAAACCCAAUCACUGGGAAUGGGACCCAGGACAACAUACCAGGGCUGCCAUCCAGCAGACUUCAUCCUUUGGGGACAAACCUUACAAAUGUUCUGAAUGUUGGAAAAGCUUCAAUAAUAGUUCUCAUCUUCGAACUCACCAGAGGACCCACUCAGGAGAAAAACCUUAUAAAUGUUCUGAGUGUGGGAAAUGCUUCAGUAACAGCUCUCACCUGAUUCAGCAUCUGAGAACACACACAGGCGAGAAGCCCUACCAGUGUCGUGAAUGUGGGAAAAGCUUCAGCAACACCUCCCAUCUUAUUAUCCAUGAAAGAACUCACACGGGAGAGAAACCCUAUAAAUGUCCUGAGUGUGGGAAGAGUUUCAGUAGCAGCUCUCACCUUAUUCAGCAUCACAGAUCACAUACAGGUGAAAAACCAUAUGAAUGUCCGGUUUGUGGGAAAUGCUUCAGCCACAGUUAUGUCCUAGUAGAACAUCAGAGGACCCACACUGGAGAAAAACCUUAUAAGUGCCCCGACUGUGGGAAGAGUUUUAGUCAGAGUUCUAGUCUGAUUCGCCACCAGCGGACACACACAGGUGAGAAGCCCUACAAAUGUCCUGAGUGUGGAAAAAGCUUUGGUUGCAAUUCUACUCUAAUAAAGCAUCAGAGAAUACAUACAGGAGAAAAACCCUAUCAGUGUACAGAAUGUGGGAAGAAUUUCAGUCGAAGUUCAAACCUUAUUACACACCGGAAGAUGCACACAGGUGAGAAAUCCUAUGAAACGUCUGAAUAUGAAGAAAGUUUGAGUCAGAACUGCAGUGUGAUAGACGAAUGCCGAAUCCAGCCAGGAGAGAAACCAUAUAAAUGUUGUGAAUGUGGAAAGAGUUUUGGCCUUAGCUCCCACCUCAUAAGACAUCAGAGAACACAUACAGGAGAAAAACCUUACAGAUGUUCUGAGUGUUGGAAAACUUUUAGUCAGAGUUCCACCCUGGUGAUUCACCAAAGGACGCACACAGGAGAGAAACCUUAUAAAUGUCCUGACUGUGGUGAGUGCUUCAGUCAAAGCUUUAACCUUAUCAGGCAUCGGAGGACCCAUGUAGGAGAAAAACCUUACAAAUGUACUGACUGUGAGAAAUGCUUCAGCAGAAGUGCCUACCUCAUUCAGCAUCAGAAAAUUCAUAUAGAAAAGUCUUCUGCAUCUCCUGAAGUUGAAGAUUUUCCUCAUGAAUGGACUUGGAAAAACUGUUCUGGGGAAAUGGCUCUUAUCUCUUCAUUUUCAGUCCCAAAUUCAUCUCCCUCCUGAGUCCCAAAGUCUGUUUUGUUUCCUUUCUUUUGUUAUCGGAGCAUUACAAUUAAGGUGUUCUCUGAUCACAGGGUUAUAAAAUUUCUUUGGUUUGUUUGCCAAAACAUUUGGGAAAAGUCAACCUCCCACCUUAGAGGUUGGGAAGACCCAGAUCAUCGGGUCAUCGGAUCUGCCCAGUGAGAGAUACUGCCAAUGAUGGAGAGAAAGAAGAAUAUUUUUUAUUUAAGGAUCAGCUGAGACUCACUUUGGGUUGAAACACUUUAAGAACUGCUUGGUGAUAUGAAACUGGAAAUCAAUUACAAGAAGAAAACUGGAAAAGUAAAAACACCUCACAAACACAUGGAGACUAGAAACAUGCUACUAAACAAUCAGUGGGUCAACAAAGAAAUCAAAGAGACAGAUGAAAAUGGAAACACAACUUUCUGAAAUCUAUGGGACACAGCAAAGGCAGUUCUAAGGGAGAAGUUCAUAAAGAUACAGGUCUACCUCAAGAAACAAGAAAAAUAUCAAUCUAAAUUAACAUUAAAGGAACUAGAAGAAGAGUAAGCAAAGCCUAAAGUUAGUAGAAGGAAGGAAAUAAUAAAGAUCAGAGUGGAAAUAGAUGAAAUAGAGACUAAUAAAACAAUAGAAAAGAUCAGUGAAACUAAGAGUCGGUUCUUUGAAAAGAAACAAACUUGACAUGUCUUUAGCGAGGCUCAUCAAGAAAAAGAGAGAGCCUAAAUAAAUAAAAUCAGAAAUGAAUGAGGAGAAAUUACAACCAAUACCACAGAAAUACAAAGGAUCAUAACAGAAUUCCUUGAACAAUUAUAUGCCAACAAAUUAGACAACAAAGAAGAAAUGGAUAAAUCUCUGGAAAUAUAUAAUCUUCCAAGACUGACUCAUGAGGAAAUAGAAAAUCUUAAUAGACCAAUUAUUAGUAAUGAAAUUGAAUCAGUAAUAUAAAAACUUCCAACAAGCAAAAGUCCAGGUCCAGAUGGCUUCAAAGGUGAAUUCUACCAAACAUUUAAAGAAGAGCUAUUACCUAUCCUUCUCAAAUUAUUACAGAAAAUUGAAGAGGAAGGAAUAUUUCCAAACUCAUAGUACAAGGCCAGCAUUACCCUGAUACCAAAACCAAAGACAUAACAAAAAAAGAAAAUUACAGAGUAAUAUCCCUGAUGAACAUAGAUGCAAAAAUCCUCAACAAAGGGACUUCCCUGGUGGUGCAGUGGUUAAGAAUCCACCUUCCAAUGCAAGGGUUUGAUCACUGGUCAGGGAACUAGAUCCCACAUGCAUGCCACAACUAAGAGUUUGCAAGCCACAACUAAGGAGCCCACCGGUCUCAAUUAAGGAGCACAUGUGCCACAAUGAAUGAGCCAGUGAGCCUCAACUAAGGAUACCACCUGCUGCAACUAAGAAAUAAAUAAUUUUUAAAAAUCCUCUACAAAAUAUUAGCAAACCAAAUUCAACAAUACUUUAAAAAGAUCAUACACCACGAUCAAGUGGGAUUCAUUACAGUGAUGCAAAAGUGGUUUAACAUCCACAAGUCAGUCAACAUGAUACAUCACAUUAAGAAAACAAAGGAUAAAAAUCAUGUGAUCACCUCAAUAGAUGCAGAAAAAGCAUUUGAAAAAAUUUAACAUCCAUUUAUGAUAAAAACAAAGUGGAUAUGGAGGGAACAUACCUCAACAUAAUAAAGACCAUAUGUGACAGACCCACAGCUAACAUCAUACUCAACAGUGAAAAGCUGAAAGCUUUAAGAGCAGGAAUGAGACAAGAAUGCCCAUGCUCAUCACUUUUUAUUAAACAUAAUGUUACAAGUCCUAGCCACAGCAAUUAGUCAAAAAAAAAAAAAAGGCAUCCAGAUUGGAAAGGAAAAAGUAAAACUGUCACUAUUUGCAGAAGACAUAAUACUAUAUACAGAAAACCCCAAAGACCCCACCAAAAAAAACUAUUAGAACUAGUAAAUGAAUUCUGUAAAGUUGCAGGAUACAGUAUUAAUAUACUGAAAUCUAUUGCAUUUCUAUGCACUAAUAACAGACUAUCAGAAAGAGAAAUUAAGAAAAUCCCAUUUAUAAUUGCAUCAAAAAGAAUAAAAUACCUAGGAAUAAGUUUAACCAAGGAGGUGAAAGACCUAUGCUCUCAAAAUUAUAAUGAGGAAAGAAAGGUAACACAAAUAAAUGGAAAGAUAUACCAUGCUCAUGUAUUGGAAGAAUCAAUAUCAAUAAAAUGUCCAUACUACCCAAAGCAAUCUACAAAUUCAAUGCAAUCCCUAUCAAAAUACCAAUGGCAUUUUUCACAGUAGUAGAACAAAUAAUCCUAAAAUUUCUGUGGAACAACAAAAGACCCCAAAUAGCCAAGCAAUCUUGAGAAAGAAGAGCAAAGUUGGAGGUAUCAUGCUCCCAGACCUGAAACUAUACCACAAAUUUAUUGUAAUCAAAACAGGAUGGUAUUGGCACUAGAACAGGCACAUAGAUCAAUGAAGCAGAAUAGAGAGCCCAGAAAUUAACCCACACUCAUAUGGUCAAUUAAUCUAUGACAAAGGAAGCAAGAAUAUACAAUGGGGAAAAGACAGUCUCUUUGAUAAAUAGUGUUAGGAAAACAAGACAGCUACAUGCAAAAGAAUGAAAUUGGACCUCUUUGUUACACCAUACACACAAAAAAAAAGAAGAAAAAAGAAAACAAAUGGAUUAAAGACUUAAA